CCUACGGGCGGCAGCAGUGGGGAAUCUUGGGCAAUGGGCGCAAGCCUGACCCAGCAACGCCGCGUGAAGGAAGAAGGCCCUCGGGUUGUAAACUUCUUUUAUCAAGGACGAAACAAAUGACGGUACUUGCUGAAUAAGCCACGGCUACCUACGUGCCAGCAGCCGCGGUAAUACGUAGGUGGAAAGCGUUAUCCGGAUUUACUGGGUGCAAAGGGCGUGUCGGCGGGACUGUAAGUCAGCUGUGAAAAUCAGGGGCUCAACCCGGGGACUGCAUUUGAUACUGGUGGGCUUGAGUGUUGGAGAGGCAGGCGGAAUUCCGGGUGUAGCGGUGAAAGGCGUAGAUAUACGGAGGAACACCAGUGGCGAAGGCGGCCUGCUGGACAAUAACUGACGCUGAGGCGCGAAAGCGUGGGGAGCAAACAGGAUUAGAUACCCUAGUAGUC
rnacentral:rRNA from 1 species